GUGCUCGCUUCGGCAGCACGUAUACUAAAAUCGGAACCAUACAGAGAAGAUUAGCAUGGCCCCUGCACAGGGAUGACACACAAAUUUAAAAAUCUAAUUAAAAAGAA